CGGGACGGGUGAGUAACGCGUGGAUAACCUGCCUCACACUGGGGGAUAACAGUUAGAAAUGACUGCUAAUACCGCAUAAGCGCACAGUACCGCAUGGUACGGUGUGAAAAACCCAGGUGGUGUGAGAUGGAUCCGCGUCUGAUUAGCCAGUUGGCGGGGUAACGGCCCACCAAAGCGACGAUCAGUAGCCGACCUGAGAGGGUGACCGGCCACAUUGGGACUGAGACACGGCCCAA
rnacentral:rRNA from 1 species